rnacentral:lncRNA from 1 species
GGUUGCUGUGAAUCUCUUCCUUUCCAAAGAGAUGUGAAAUGACCAGGUCUGGUAAAGCAUUUGUCCAACCUGAAAUCUUUGUUGCUGCCCAGUCCAUCCAACCUUCAGCACAAGGGUUUAUGUUAAUGAGAACCAAUCCCUCCACCAUGUCCGGGUGGUUUAAAGCAAAUCUGGUCAGGACGUAGGCACCAGCUCCAGUUCCCAUUCCAAUAAUGCUCUUCA